rnacentral:rRNA from 1 species
CGACCCAGGUCAGGCGGGGUUACCCGCUGAAUUUAAGCA